GAUGAACGCUGGCGGCGUGCUUAAUACAUGCAAGUCGAACGGAGACAUUGUAGCAAUACGAUGUUCUUAGUGGCGAACGGGUGAGUAACGCGUUGGUGACCUGCCCCAAAGAGGGGGAUAACAGUCCGAAAGGAUUGCUAAUACCCCAUGUGGUCUCAGGGAUUAGAUGCCCUGAGUCAAAAGGAGUAAUCCACUUUGGGAGGGACCUGCGUCCCAUCAGCUAGUUGGUAAGGUAACGGCUUACCAAGGCUUUGACGGGUAGGGGACCUGAGAGGGUGGCCCCCCACAAUGGAACUGAAACACGGUCCAUACACCUACGGGUGGCAG
rnacentral:rRNA from 1 species